rnacentral:rRNA from 1 species
AUGGGUGACAAGGAUGCCGCUCCAUCGGGAGUCACGGCAGGGGAGCUUGCAGCGGUGUUGCAAGCCAUGGAUGAUAAAUACAGAUUGUUGUUCGAGGCUAUGAGCAAGCAAGGAGGGAGUUCAAAACCAGAAGCAGAGGUCAAGGAGGAGGUUCAUCCAUUGCAAAUGCCCCUGGUGAAGUUAGAUGGGUCUGAAACCUAUGCAAGUUGGGCAGAGCACGCAGAGACAAUUCUUGUCUCAAGAAGUCUAGAGGGCUAUAUACAUGGGGCAAUUGAAAAACCAGCUGACGAGAACUCCAAGGAAGGCCAGAAGUGGAAGAUGACCAACGCAUUGGUGAGAGCAUGGCUGCUGAGUUCAGUCUCACCUUAA